rnacentral:rRNA from 1 species
UACGGGGGAGGCAAGCGUUGUUCGGAUUUACUGGGCGUAAAGGGCGCGUAGGCGGCGCAACAAGUCACUUGUGAAAUCUCCGGGCUUAACCCGGAGCGGCCAAGUGAUACUGUCGUGCUAGAGUGCGGAAGGGGCUACUGGAAUUCUCGGUGUAGCGGUGAAAUGCGUAGAUAUCUGGAGGAACACCGGUGGCGAAGGCGGCAUCCUGGACCGGCAUUGACGCUGAGGAGCGAAAGCCAGGGGAGCAAACGGG